GAGUUUGGGUGCCUACGGCGCAGAAUCUCCUCCAUUUCUUUCACCUGACAGACAUAUUUGAAGAUAUAAGCACUGUGAAUGAUCUCUCUUCUUGUUACAGGGAUUCUUACAUACACAGACUCUGCAGAGCGAGACAGCUGACCCACAGGGGAGAGGAAAUAAGAGGACACAAGGUACACCUCUGCUGAGUGUGUGUGUACCUGUCGUUCAAGAUCCUGAAUUCUCUUGGCCUCCGCAGCCCUCUCCUUCACUUUCUUCUGCUGCUGGUUAGCUUGCUUAGCUACCUCCAUCUUCAGCCUCUCCACCUUAAAGAAACGUACACAAUGCAUGCACUUCAAUGACUCAACAGCAUGGUGGACAUAAUGAUCACACGGACACAACCACAACCUGACAGUGAGGAAAUAUUACACAAAAAUCCUUUUGUGUUUUGCUGGUAACAAGGUGCCACUGUGGAAUUUAAUAAUUUGUAAUCAUUUUGGUAGUGCACCCUACAUACAAAGGAUGCCAGUGAAAGAACCACAUUGUCUCCUACCUUUUAUUUGUACAAAAAUGGAAAGGAGGUUGUAUGUAAUAUAGAGUAUAAUAUUAAGUAAUACAUCUACUUCUGGUGUUAACCUACAUAUUAACACAUGAAAAUAUGUGUAUGAUAAUAUAAUAUAAUAUAAUAUAAUAUAUCCUGUUGAAAGGUCCACUUUCGGUUCAACUUCAACUUUUGGACAGAUGGCCUCCCAUUAUCUUCAAGGACUCUUUGUUAGCAUGAAGUGCUUCACCUGAAAAGCUGACUUUGGGCUGCGCCAAACAUGUCUGCUGUUACUGUGGCCAAACAACUCUAUCUCUGAUUCAUCAGUCCAAAGCACACUAUUCCAAAAGGUCUGGUGUUUGCCUAUAUGCUCAUUAGCAAACUGUAGUCUUGCUUUAAUGUUUUUAUAGAUA